UACAGAGGGUGCAAGCGUUAAUCGGAAUUACUGGGCGUAAAGUGUGCGUAGACGGCUAUCUAAGUCGGGUGUGAAAGCCCCGGGCUCAACCUGGGAAUUGCAUUCGAGACUGAAUAGCUAGGGUACGGUAGAGGGAAGCGGAAUUUCCGGUGUAGCGGUGAAAUGCGUAGAUAUCGGAAGGAACAUCAGUGGCGAAAGCGGCUUCCUGGACCAGUACCGACGUCAGGCACGAAAGCGUGGGAGCAAACGGG
rnacentral:rRNA from 1 species